UUUUUUUUUUUAUAAUUUUUUUAAGAGUGGGUGUGACUGACAUUAACUCAUGAUAACUUGUCAGAUGGUGUGCCCUCUCAAAAUUUGCUAAAUUGUUGCCCUGCAUAUUUUCUUCAAUACCCAUUCAUUUUGCACCCACAUAUCUAUAAUGCAUGUUAGAAUUUAUGUUCAGAUAACGUUCCUGGCUAUAUAUGCAUCCUCAAAUUUGUCCGUUUUUUAACCCAUGCAACCUAGUAUCAUAAUAGACCCUGACAUGAAAUAUGGUCAGUUAUUCAUCCCCCGAACCCUUCAUUAUUCCUGCAGUAAGUUAAGAGAGGCUCCCAGCGUAUAUAAUAUUCUGAUAACAUUCUUGGUUAGCCUGCCUGUUGUACAGGGGAAUGAGUAAAUGAAUUACCUAGGAGAGUAGCUUUUAUACAAUUUGGUUCAUAGUGUGUCAAGGCAGUAUCAUGGAAGCUAAAGAGGAAUAUUGCUUUGUCCAUCUAAGCCUACUGAUUGGCUUCAAAACAUGGACCUAUUGCUCCUUCAAAAGCUCUUUAUUGCAUUAUUUUCACUAACACAAAAAAAUUAAUUUGUUGCAGCUUGAUAUUUUUUAGCAGCUGGGAUAUAUUAGAUUUUACAAAUUGUAGAGGAUUCUGUUAGAUCAGACAUGUUAACUGUGAAGGUGACACCUCAGCUGCCAAUUCAUUGCUUACCACUUUAAAAGAAACACCAGCAAAGAUGUAAAGAUAUACCCUCUACAUAGCUCUGUAAUUAUGCAAGGCUGACAUUUAAAUGCUCGUCUUUGUGUUUGUCUUACUUGCCCCUUCCAGCACCCUCUCUUACUAUUUAUUCAUAACUAUUUAAAUUAGAGCAACUAUUUGUGAGAGUACAAAUCAAUAAAAAGCCUGCAAUGUCAUGGUUUUAAAUGUGCCAAAAAAAAAAGCAUUGUGCCACAUGUACAGACAAAGGUAACACCCUCUUACGCUAUCUGUCAGUUUGAAAUGUUACAUCAUAGUACAACUUUUCUAAACCAUGACUUCAGAACUGCUCCCAGAGAACCUUAACCUGCUUAGCUUAUGAAUUCCAAUUUUGUAUACAGCAUAAUAACGAAGCAGGGUGUUAAUCCAAAUAUGGUGCUAUCCUCAGGGGGCAUUUAAACGUAAGUUACAAGCUGCUGAUCACUAAGCCACCCGUCCCCUGCUUCUAACUAUGCUGAAUUACAGUCUGUUUUCCGAACAUAUAUUCUUGAUGGGUUGUCCUCGUGACAAAGCAUUGGUCUUACACCCCUUUAAAUAAUGACAGAGGAACUACCUGUGGCAUUAGAAUGCUUCACUUUAUCAAAUACUACCUUCAAGAUGCUAUAGAAGGGGCCACCUUUACAUUUUGUGCCAACCAAUGCUACACUACACUUUGCAUUAAUGACAAAUUGAAUACAAUAAGAUUAUGCAGUACGUUGACAAAUCCUAGUAUUGUUCUGUUUAACCAUGUGUCGAAGCAUUGGUACAUACUUUCACCUUGGGCUACAUGCUUUAGUCAACAUACCCAUUUUUUUUAAACUUCCAUUAGCUUUUAUAAGUGUUUACAAGAUGAUAUUGGGUAAUUUAGUAGCUUCAUUGAAACUUUCAGAUCACUGCAUUAAAUGCUCUGAAACGUAUUAGAUCUCUGAGCACAUUCAAUGUUUCUGUCUAGGUAAAACAGACAAAUGUAUAGUGUGGCUUUUUGGCAAAUUGUACAACUAGAGUGGUGCAUUAUGGAAAAAGUUCCUACAUACUAGUGAGAAGAAAAAAAAUCCUGCACACGUAGAUAAAAACACUUUAUACAUUGAUGUGCCAUAGCAAUGUCCUAUCUACAGCAGAGUCUGCUUACCAGUGACUGCCUAUUCAUUAAAAAGUUAAUUAUCCACCCAAAGACUCCAUCUAUCUGUGCCAAAGUUUCUGAUGCUGUGUAAUGUUCUCAUCAAGAAUUCUAUGUGUCUAAUUUAUCAUUUAGUGGCCUUUGGUAAAUAAUAACACAUAUCUUCUAAUUUACAAGUGUUCAAACGUGAUUAUCCAGAAUACACAAUCUAUAUGGUGAUAGUAAUGGUUAGAAGGAGAACCUUAAAUUCUGAUUAUCAGACACAGAUUCAUUGUUUUCCAUACAAGCAGCAAUUUAAAAGAAUUUUGAUAGCAUGAUAUCUCCCAUUUUGUAUAUUCCGUGGGCCGUACUCCGGUCUCCCAUCAUAUUUUUUUUUUGUCAUCAUUCUCCUAUGGGCAGCGUAAGUUUCGUCUCUCUGUAAAUGAAUGUGAAACGAGAAGUCACGGGAAGUGUAGAUAGUAUAACAGGGCCUGCAUUGGAGCUAGGCAUAUUUUUCUAAGAGUGAUUGCACCUUUAGAUGACUGGCUCCUGUAAAUAGCGAAAAUUCUAAACCCAAAUAAAACGUUAACAUCUCUCAUAACAAUAGUAGAUGCAUCCACCGUUUGUAAAUAUAAUGACUACAUAGAAAAUUACAUUCGAAUACGUUUUAUUUCAGUUAGUUGAUGACAAAUUUUAAAUCCUCUGUAUUAUCGAUUCCUGUAGUUGUGUUUUUUUAUCACUAUUAUUUUAACUUUAACAUAUUUGGUUUAAAAAAAGUGUUCGGAUCUAUCGUUUGCAGCUGCAAAUCAGGGAAACUAUAAUCUCUCGCAGCUACAGUGAGUUCUGCAUGAUAUCACACUUUGGUUGUUUUAUUUUAAUAUUUUAUUUUUUUAAAGAGAAAAACAAGCAAAAUGUACAUGGGUCAAUAUCAUUGUGACAUUCGGAGAACACAGAAAAGAAGGUGGUCUUCACUUCUUGUUCUAAGCCAAAAAAACCUUGACUUUACUGCUCGGGUUUAUUCAAAGUCAGAACAAAGAGGUUUGUUAUUUAACUACUGUUUCCAAAUGUGUUGUCUAUUAUGUUCUGUUUAUAAGGGGUUGUUUGGCAAUGUCAAACAAGUGUAACAUUUUUGUGUAAAGGAAAAAAACUAAAAAGUGUUUUAAAGAGUGUUAUAAGAAAACACUGAGCCUUAUGAGAAAAAAAAAAUAUUUAUGGAGAUAAAUAAAAAUGGAAAAAGGCAUUUUUAAAGUAUUUUUAAAUAUUUUAUUUAUGUAAAAACAAAAGUGUUGGAUCUUAUUGCUCUGAAAAAAAAUAUGUGCAUCCUGAAAUGUUUUUUUUAAAUGUCACUAAUAGCCCAGCUUCAAUGCCUAGGCAUCUGUUUUGUACAAAAUAAACUGUUUGUUCAUCUGUUAUGUACAUCAAGACGGUUACAGAUAUUGUCUGUCACUUUAGGAGCAAGCCUGAGCAUGAAGAAGAUGAUAGAGUGUAAUAAUACUACAUAUGGAUAUAUAUAUAUAUAAAUAUAUAUAUACAUAGAGAUGUAUAUAUUUAUAGCACUAACAAAUUCAACAGUGCUAUAAAGAAUACCUAGAGAAACAAGCUGACUCUGUAGGUUUUAAAAGUUUUGUCUGCAAGCUUACACUGUCUGUUUGUCUGUCUCUCCGUGUGUCUAUUUAGCUAUGGUUUACAUUUAACCGACAGAACACCUUAUCAAAUUUGCACAGGUAGUUCUUUUUGUGGAAUCCUUAACACGGUUUUGCUUAACACAGUUUUGUGAAAGAGUUUUAACCCUUAUAUGACAAGAUGUAAGCAAUGACAAAUCCGACAUACUAUUUGCCAUUUCAAGAUAUCUAAGCGAUCUUCUUAACUGCAACAGGAUAAGUUAAAGCAGUUUCUUUCAGUUUUUUUUUUUUUUUUAAAUCAUAUUGGUUAGACUUCCUGGACAGAAAAAAACAGUUUAUUGCUUUUAUAUGAGCAUCAUAUGUCAAAACUAUAAUUAUGAUUUUUUGCAUGGACUGGUUGGAAGAACUGUUGGAUUAAGCUGUUGAUGUCCAACUCAUUUUAUAGAAACAUUCCGUGGUGUUUAUAUUCUUACACAAAUAGAAGCGGCUGUGUGUGUGAAUCAUUAUUUAUACAGAUACACUUUUUGAUGGGGAUGUAUAGUCUCAGGCCAUGUCAGGAGGUUAAGGAGGUGCAGCUUGAUGGCAAUAUGUGUUGGCAAACAAUACAUUAUAGCGACACAGCAAUGACAUUUCUUUAUAACCCUGUUUACCUCUAAACACAGCUUUAAAUGUUUAGAUAUAGAUUUGCCUAAAACUGUGAGCGCUUGACAAUCAUUCUUUUACAAACUGAUUGUGUUUGACAGUUGCCACUAUUCUGUUAGCAAGCCAAUUAAAAUCUUAUUGUACUGUAUUGAUGUGAACGAUGUAAUACACAGGUUGAUGGCUCUGCAAAACCACACUGUAUUUUUAUUUUCUUUUUAUAAAUGGUAAAUCGACAAAAAGCACAAACAUACAGGGCAACAUAACAUUGAAAAAACAUUUUUAAUUUUUUCAGAAGAACACAUCGUGGUAAAAAAAAAUUACAAUUGAGAAACAUGAAAUUUCUAUUAGAUUAAUGAAAAAGUCCCUUUAAAGACUGAUGAAAGAGCAGAGUUGGGAGAAUUAACUCCAAGCUGUUUUCUUUUGGUUAUGCCUUUAUUAAGUUUUGUUGUAAUUUUCACAGUUUUGGCCUCAUGUAGAUCUGUACAAACCAGUAUGGAAAUGUGUAAAUAUAAUUAAUGUGAAGUUUUCCUGUGUGCCUAGAUACAUUGUGGGUGCAACUAAUCUCAGAGCUCCUUCACUGCCCUAAUCUGCGUUAAUUGUUAUACAGCAAUGAGCAAUGGUGUCACAGUAACUUGCAUUGGAUUCAAGGUUACAUGAAAUCAUCAUUGUAUGUACACGAACAUCCAAGAUGUGUAUGUGACAUGUGCUAUCAGCAAUGAGUGGAGGCACCAAAUUCGAAAACGAAAUUCUAAGUUACAAGAUCCAUCUAUUUUAAUGUGUAUGAUUAAGGCAUUACAAAUAAAUCUGC
rnacentral:lncRNA from 1 species